AAAUGAUAAACAUUUAUAUUAAGUUACACGAAGUUGUUAUGUAAUAACAUAUGCGACCAAGUAUACUAUACAUUGUUGAAAGAUAACGAGUAUAUUAUAUGCAUGUCCACUUUUUCCAGGAUGUUUCGAAGCCGCUGUUAUCUUGCCGGUUUAACACUCUGGCUGUUCUUGCCGUUGUCAGGUUCAUUUAACUGCUUUACGUGUUCAUACACGUUGUCAGGAGACCCGAGUGUGGGUUA